rnacentral:rRNA from 1 species
UAGGGAAUCUUCCACAAUGGACGCAAGUCUGAUGGAGCAACGCCGCGUGAGUGAAGAAGGUUUUCGGACCGUAAAGCUCUGUUGUUGGUGAAGAAGGAUAGAGGUAGUAACUGGCCUUUAUUUGACGGUAAUCAACCAGAAAGUCACGGCUAACUACGUGCCAGCAGCCGCGGUAAUACGUAGGUGGCAAGCGUUGCCCGGAUUUAUUGGGCGUAAAGCGAGCGCAGGCGGAAGAAUAAGUCUGAUGUGAAAGCCCUCGGCUUAACCGAGGAAUUGCAUCGGAAACUGUUUUCUUGAGUGCAGAAGAGGAGAGUAGAACUCCAUGUGUAGCGGUGGAAUGCGUAGAUAUAUGGAAGAAUACCAGUGGCGAAGGCGGCUCUCUGGUCUGCAACUGACGCUGAGGCUCGAAAGCAUGGGUAGCGAACAGGAUUAGAUACCCUGGUAGUCCAUGCCGUAAACGAUGAGUGCUAAGUGUUGGGAGGCUUCCGCCUCUCAGUGCUGCAGCUAACGCAUUAAGCACUCCGCCUGGGGAGUACGACCGCAAGGUUGAA